rnacentral:rRNA from 1 species
GAUGAACGCUGGCGGCGUGCCUAAUACAUGCAAGUCGAGCGAACAGACGAGGAGCUUGCUCCUCUGACGUUAGCGGCGGACGGGUGAGUAACACGUGGAUAACCUACCUAUAAGACUGGGAUAACUUCGGGAAACCGGAGCUAAUACCGGAUAAUAUAUUGAACCGCAUGGUUCAAUAGUGAAAGACGGUUUUGCUGUCACUUAUAGAUGGAUCCGCGCCGCAUUAGCUAGUUGGUAAGGUAACGGCUUACCAAGGCAACGAUGCGUAGCCGACCUGAGAGGGGGAUCGGCCACACUGGAACUGAGACACGGUCCAGACUCCUACGGGAGGCAGCAGUAGGGAAUCUUCCGCAAGGGGCGAAAGCCUGACGGAGCAACGCCGCGUGAGGGAUGAAGGUCUUCGGAUCUUAAAACUUUUUUAUUAGGGAAGAACAAAUGUGUAAGUAACUGUGCACUUCUUGACGGUACCUAAUCAGAAAGCCAGGGCUAACUACGUG